AGAAUCAACGCUGGCGGCGUGCCUAACACAUGCAAGUCGAGCGAGAAAGGGGCUUCGGUCCUGAGUAAAGCGGCGCACGGGUGAGUAACACGUGGGUAAUCUGCCCUGGAGUGGGGAAUAACACCGGGAAACCGGUGCUAAUACCGCAUACGAUGGCGAGGUCUGUGGAUUUCGUCAUGAAAGGAGCAAUUCGCUCCAGGAGGACGCCCGCGGCUGAUUAGCUA
rnacentral:rRNA from 1 species